GACGAACGCUGGCGGCGUGCUUAACACAUGCAAGUCGAACGGUAAGGCCCCUUCGGGGGUACACGAGUGGCGAACGGGUGAGUAACACGUGAGCAACCUGCCCUUGACUUCGGGAUAACAGCUGGAAACAGCUGCUAAUACCGAAUACGACCUCGACCGUCCCCGGUCGGGGUGGAAAGCUCCGGCGGUCAAGGAUGGGCUCGCGGCCUAUCAGCUUGUUGGUGAGGUAACGGCUCACCAAGGCUUCGACGGGUAGCCGGCCUGAGAGGGCGACCGGCCACACUGGGACUGAGAUACGGCCCAGACUCCUACGGGAGGCAGCAGUGGGGAAUAUUGCACAAUGGGCGCAAGCCUGAUGCAGCAACGCCGCGUGCGGGAUGACGGCCUUCGGGUUGUAAACCGCUUUCAGUAGGGACGAAGCGAAAGUGACGGUGCCUACAGAAGAAGGACCGGCUAACUACGUGCCAGCAGCCGCGGUGAUACGUAGGGUCCGAGCGUUGUCCGGAAUUAUUGGGCGUAAAGGGCUUGUAGGCGGUCCGUCGCGUCAGAAGUGAAAACUCAGGGCUUAACCCUGAGCCUGCUUUUGAUACGGGCGGACUAGAGGGAUGCAGGGGAGAACGGAAUUCCUGGUGGAGCGGUGGAAUGCGCAGAUAUCAGGAGGAACACCGGUGGCGAAGGCGGUUCUCUGGGCAUUACCUGACGCUGAGAAGCGAAAGCGUGGGGAGCAAACAGGCUUAGAUACCCUGGUAGUCCACGCCGUAAACGGUGGGCACUAGGUGUGGGGGACAUUCCACGUUCUCCGUGCCGAAGCUAACGCAUUAAGUGCCCCGCCUGGGGAGUACGGGCCGCAAGGCUAAAACUCAAAGGAAUUGACGGGGGCCCGCACAAGCGGCGGAGCAUGCGGAUUAAUUCGAUGCAACGCGAAGAACCUUACCUGGGUUUGACAUAUGCCGGAAAGCUGCAGAGAUGUAGCCCCCGCAAGGUCGGUAUACAGGUGGUGCAUGGCUGUCGUCAGCUCGUGUCGUGAGAUGUUGGGUUAAGUCCCGCAACGAGCGCAACCCUCGUUCUAUGUUGCCAGCGGAUAAUGCCGGGGACUCAUAGGAGACUGCCGGGGUCAACUCGGAGGAAGGUGGGGAUGACGUCAAGUCAUCAUGCCCCUUAAGUCCAGGGCUUCACGCAUGCUACAAUGGCCGGUACAAAGGGCUGCAAUACCGCAAGGUGGAGCGAAUCCCAAAAAGCCGGUCUCAGUUCGGAUUGGGGUCUGCAACUCGACCCCAUGAAGUCGGAGUCGCUAGUAAUCGCAGAUCAGCAACGCUGCGGUGAAUACGUUCCCGGGCCUUGUACACACCGCCCGUCAAGUCAUGAAAGUCGGUAACACCCGAAGCCGGUGGCCCAACCUCAUCUGAGGAGGGAGCCGUCUAGGGUGGGCAUGGCGAUUAGGACU
rnacentral:rRNA from 1 species